rnacentral:rRNA from 1 species
CCUACGGGCGGCAGCAGUGGGGAAUAUUGGACAAUGGGCGAAAGCCUGAUCCAGCCAUGCCGCGUGUGUGAAGAAGGCCUUCGGGUUGUAAAGCACUUUCAGUGGGGAAGAAAGCCUUGGGGCUAAUACCCUCGAGGAAGGACAUCACCCACAGAAGAAGCACCGGCUAACUCCGUGCCAGCAGCCGCGGUAAUACGGAGGGUGCGAGCGUUAAUCGGAAUUACUGGGCGUAAAGCGCGCGUAGGCGGUCUGAUAAGCCGGCUGUGAAAGCCCCGGGCUCAACCUGGGAACGGCAUCCGGAACUGUCAGGCUAGAGUGCAGGAGAGGAAGGUAGAAUUCCCGGUGUAGCGGUGAAAUGCGUAGAGAUCGGGAGGAAUACCAGUGGCGAAGGCGGCCUUCUGGACUGACACUGACGCUGAGGUGCGAAAGCGUGGGUAGCAAACAGGAUUAGAUACCCCUGUAGUC